rnacentral:rRNA from 1 species
GAUGAACGCUGGCGGCGUGCUUAACACAUGCAAGUCGAACGUGAAGGUGCAGCAAUGUACCUGAAAGUGGCGAACGGGUGAGUAACACGUAGAUAACCUAUCCUGAUGUGGGGGAUAACGACGGGAAACUGUCGCUAAUACCGCAUGUGCUUGAUGGCCUGGGAAUGUCGUCAAGGAAAGAUUUAUUGCAUUAGGAGGGGUCUGCGUCCGAUUAGCUAGAUGGUGAGGUAACGGCUCACCAUGGCGAUGAUCGGUAGCUGGUCUGAGAGGAUGGUCAGCCACACGGGAACUGAGAUACGGUCCCGACUCCUACGGGAGGCUG